AGCGAACGCUGGCGGCGUGCCUAACACAUGCCAGUCGAACGUGAAAAGGGAAACCUGAGUAAAGUGGCGUACGGGUGAGUAACGCGUAGGUAAUCUACCCCAGAAUCUGGAAUAACCUGCCGAAAGGCGGGCUAAUACUGGAUAGAGCGAGGGAACUCGUAAGAGAGUUUUUCGGGAAAGGGAGCCCGCAAGGGCCUUCGUUCUGGGAUGAGCCUGCUUCUCAUUAGCUAGUUGGUAAGGUAACGGCUUACCAAGGAGAUGAUGAGUAGCGGGUCUGAGAGGAGGAUCAGCCAAACUGGAACGGAAACACGGUCCAGACUCCUACGGGAGGCAGCAGUGGGGAAUCUGGCGCAAUGGACGAAAGUCUGACGCAGCCACGCCGCGUGAGUGAAGAAGGCCUUCGGGUUGUAAAGCUCUGUCGGAUGGGACGAACAUCUUCAUAGUGAAUAGCUAUGAGGACUGACGGUACCAUCAAAGGAAGCACCGGCUAACUCCGUG
rnacentral:rRNA from 1 species